AGGCCGACCUCAGGGUUCCGAUUCUGUCUCUGCCCUGGGAGCCCAGUGUGGCUACAGCCCUCCCUCUCUAGCAGAGGGGCCGGCGUUCCUCUGGGGACUUAAGGAAUACGGGCUGCAGGAGCCUCCAUACACGGGAAGCCGUAUCAUUGAAAGUCAAGCGGAGUCCGUGUGUAUUUUACGUACUCGCGCACUCACUGUCUGCGACUGCCCGAGCUCGGGCUGCCCCUAGAAAACAUCACAGAAAUGCAAGUGCUGUUUGCAUGCUGCUGUUUGACCCUGGAGCUCUGUGGGACAUGUGAACAGUGCCUCUACGCUGGGAUGGCAGCUGGGUUGAGGGGGCCGUCCCAGGCCUCUCUACUGCUCUUUCUGGAGGAAUCCGUGGCUUCUGAUUGGGAGACAUGGGCAGAGCGCACCUGUCACCUUGGCUAUGAGCAGAGCGGCAGCCCCACCACGCUCGGGUGGGGUGGGAAGGGGGCUGGGCUUGGCUCAAACGCCACAGGAUUUUGCUGUCACUGUGAUUUGCCAAAUUUCUGGAAUAAAUUAUUUUUUUAAUUUCCUGAAUCUUCAGACAACUUCUAGUGACUUAAUUUGCCAUCAUUGUGCCUUUACGGUUUAAAGCGCCACUCCCCAUAAUUGCUGUGCUGCUGCCUGGGGUCCGCGUAGCUCCCAACACCAUGAAUCCAGCAGCUCUGCCCCUCGUCACCACUUCCCGAUUCUGCACCACUGCGUUUCGACUUUGCCUCUUCAUUUCUCUCGGUGGAAAGCCGUGUCUGCCGGGUGAGAGGCCAGUCUGUGGGACUGGAACCCUGCCCGCCUUCACCCGCAUCCUGGCCUCUUGCGAUUGCCCAGCAUUGCCAGAGGAUGUCCUGGCUUUUGCACCGUCCGUUUAUAACUGGCCCAAACCCUUCUCUAACUACACCAUGGCACCUCGUGUGGACGCGCAUUCACAGUUCCACCCUACUCCCGUUUAUUACACCACUGUCUUAUGUGUCCCUGGUUGGUAAGCUGCAAUGACCGACCAUGUUGCUGAGAUUCUUGUUUGAUCCACGGAAGUGAGAAGAAAGAAGAAGAUAGUUCAGCCUCACUGCUCUUUUCUCAGCACUGCCCUUCCUCCAUGGAGAUCCGAGGUCCUGGCGAGCUCAUCUGCCUUCUUGCUGAAGAUCGUCCAGAACACUUGCUGCGGGCAGGUCGACCGCUGACAAAUGUCUUCCAUUUUUGUUUGUCUGUCAAACUCUUAAUUAAUACCUUCCUGAUAGUUAGGAGGUCAUUUUAAGUUCCAUUUCACAGUAUUUCCUGUGGUGCAGCAGGUUAACGCCCUGGCCUGAAGCGUUGGCAUCCCAUAUGGGUGCUGGUUUGAGACCCGGCUGUUCCACUUCCGAUCCAGCUCUCUGCUCUGGCACGGGGGAAAGAUAAAAUUGGGCAAGUGUGGGAGACAAAACACUUGGGGCACAGGGAGUGAACAAGACCCUGGAGUCUAGGUGACGGCUUUCGUGUGCUUUGAGAGAGCGGCUCUCGCCAGCGGACAGA
rnacentral:lncRNA from 1 species